UCACAAAGAAACCAAGGGGAUGAGCAUGUGAGCAAGCAAACACAGGCUGUCAGUAAACACAGGAGACAUGAUGAACAAGCUGUGCAGAGAGAAUGGAUGAAAUCAAGAUCUCUUUACAUGCUUCCUGGCAGCUCUGUGACCUAAUGGCUGGGAUGCGAUGAAGGAAAAGGGAGAGAUCUCAGAGCAGAGCUGAAUCAACUGUGAGAAGAAGAGAACAGACUCAGUCUACUGAAUGAUGCCAAUUCAGGUAUUUCUGCCUCCGGAGCUGCAGAGCCUGGAUCUAUGAUUGCGGGCCACCUGCUGGCCCCUUGCUUGACGACCGCUGCUACAAUUAUUAUUAGUCUUAUUCCUAUUAUUAUCAUUAUUAUUCCUAUCACUAUCAUUCCUAUUAUUAUUAUUUUAUUAAUAUGCCACUACCAUUAUUUUUAAAAUUCUCUGUCU